CAAUUUACUCAAGUCUCCCUGGAUACACUGGAUCUCAUCUGAUGUCAGAAGCUAAGCAGCAUUGGACCGGGUUAGUACUUGGAUAGAAAAUAAU
rnacentral:rRNA from 1 species